ACUCGGUAGCAAUAUAAGACCAUGGAGCAGUAUUCAGAACUAUAAAGAAAAGAGCUGUCAUGUCAUGGAAACAACAGAGAGGAAAUGUGAAUGUGUGUUACUAAGUGAAGGAGGGCAGAAGACAGCAACAGAUCUGAGCACAAAACCACACAGAGGACAAGUCUUAGUGCUCAGAGGAUGUUGGACACUUCCAGUUCAAUAGUCUGGACUCUAAGGCAGGGCUUUGGCCCCAGUCUCUCAGGCUUGGUAUAGACAAGGAUAAUAUGAGAGCUAAAGGGGGAAAAUUUAAAGGAAUAUUUCCAACCACCAAAACACAACCACAGAUUACCAAUGUUCCUGCUGUCAAAACAUACGAGGUGAAAACGUGGAAAGUGGAAGUUACCAGUUGUGCUGGGCGUUUUCCGUCAACCUGCUACAAGUUUGUGCCACCCGGGAGGAGGGAACCUUGACUGAGAAAAAUGCCUCCAUAAACUCAAGCAUGUGAGGUAUUUUCUUGAUUAAUAACUGAUGUGGAAGGAUCCAUCCCACUGUGGGUGGUGCCAUCCCUAGGCAGGUGAUCCCGGGUUGUGUAAAAAGGCAGGUUGAGCAAACCAUGCGGAGCAAGCCACCGAGCAGCAUUCCUCCAGAGUCUCUGUUUCAGGGCCUACCUUGAGGUCCUGCAGUAACUGACUUUGAUAAGGAGUAUAAACCAAAUUCACCCUUUCCUCCACUUUUGGUCUAAGUGUUCUGUCACAGCAACAGUGAGCAAACUGAUACCCCAAUGGAAGCAGCCAGAAGGGACAUCUUCUUAGAGCCAUGCCAGUUCCCACCUGCCGUCCUGGUAAAGCUAUUAAUAGUGUGAUGUUUCAUUUGCACGAGGUCACCUAUUGGAUUACUCAUAAAGGCAUCGUGCCUCGAUUCCCCCCACAGUCAUUAUCACUAUUUAAAAGCUAGGCAUAUUCUAGCUGCCAAGCGAACACGGAUGGGGUAAAUCCCAAAUGGCCUCACUGCUACAUGAAGAGCUAUGGGUGAUCAGUGGCUCCUGGAAGAAGGAGAACCAGUUUCCUCCAGGGAGGAGCUCCCUUACAGGUUUCCAGGCCCAAGUGAUCAGCCCUGGACUCAUGUACGUACCGGCAGGCAUGAAAUAGACUGAGUAGGCUGCACAUGCAUGUGUGUGUCUGUAUAUAUAUACACAUCUAUGGACCAGUAAUAUUUGAAGAGGUCAGAAAUUUGGGAGGGAAGAGGCAGAGGCCGUGGAUGAAGUACUCACGCGUGAAGUUCUCAAAAAAGAAAAAAAAAUAUAUAUCACUUAAAAAGUUUGGUGUGUAUAUGUGUGUGUGUUUUUAUAUAUUUUCUUUAUCUUCUUUAUAGACUAGCAAAUAUUUUUCUAUCAAAGCAGGACCAUGGUAGCUCACCUUUUUAAAAGAAUAGCAAUGAGCCAGGCGAUGGUGGCGCACGCCUUUAAUCCCAGCACUCGGGAGGCAGAGGCGGGCGGAUCUCUGUGAGUUCGAGACCAGCCUGGUCUACAGAGCUAGUUCCAGGACAGGCUCCAAAGCCACAGAGAAACCCUGUCUCGAAAAACCAAAAAAAAAAAAAAAAAAAAAAAAAAAAAAAAAAAAAAAAAAAAAAAAAAAAAAAAAAAAAAAAAAAAAAGAA